GAGCUUUGGUAGUGAGCAACUGGGAGAUUACCAAGGAGUGUCUGACCAUCAACGAUAGAGCUUUCGCUAAUCGUCCAAAAAUUCUAGCCAUGGACCUUUUGGCCUAUAAUCGUGCCAUGUUUGGGUUUAGCUCAUACGGCAACUACUGGCGUCAAACGCGCAAAAUAGCCACACUUGAACUUCUCUCUAACCACCGACUCGAGAUGCUGAAACAUGUAAGAGAAUCGGAGGUGGGGACAGCUUUAAAAGAGUUGUAUAGAUUAUGGGAAAAGAAGAAAAAUAAUUC
rnacentral:misc_RNA from 1 species